rnacentral:misc_RNA from 1 species
GGAAAAUAACAUUCUAGUAGUCCUCUUACAAUUUACAAAUACACUUGAACAACUUUCACCUAAUUGUGAACCAUGAUGUUGAACUUUCCAAAGGCUAGGUUAUAGAAAAAUAAAAAUACAAUUGUGAACUAGGGCAUCCUUAGUGCACAAGGUUCCCCACUUUGUGAGGUUCAGAGGAGGGUUGUCUACUGUUCAUAACCUUCCCCCUACUUCGUGCAAAGAGAUUAAUUUCAGCACUCAACCCCAUGACCUUUGGGUCAGUGGUCACAAAGGAGCAACCCUACUGUUGCAUCAAGGCUAACCCUCAAAGUCUAAGCUACAGCUUUCUGAAAUAGGACAGCCAAAGUAUAAGAAGUGCCUAGCCUCAAAGACUUUUUGUAAUUUUCUUUUCUUUUCUUUUUUUCUUUGACCCUUACUUUUG